UUUCCAGGUGGAUAACUGUCCUCAGUGAACUGCUUGCUUCCAUUGGUAAAGCCAUCUGUUCUUGCCUGAAAGGAAAUAGCAGCCAGCAGUUCAGACCCUGAAGCUGUAACAUGGCUCUGUGUUUGCUGCAUGCUGGCACCACCUGCACACAGAACUUCUGACCCCUGCAGAAGGAUGAAGAGCAAAGAGACAAGAGAACCAGAAGAAAAGCAGUCUACAGAAGAGGCUGGAGCUUCCAUAGUCCACAAGUCUUGCAAUUUUGCCUCAGCACCAAUAUUCUUAUUCUGUGGGUUGAAGAAAAAACACUGAGCUUUGAGCCAGGAUCCUGGUAUGAGAAGACAGCUCUCUCAGCAGUCUACUGCUCUGCCAAGCUCUAAGUAAAACCUAUCAGUCCCAAGUUUGGACACAACUCUUAAGCCUAAUGAAAAUAAAUAAGUAAUGAAAAAGAGA